GCAUUUUAAUAAUGUAAGUCAUAAAAAAGAAAAAAGUGGUCCUAGCAAAACUUUAUCUGAGACUGAUUUAACAUAGAAACGGGGAAAAUGAACAAUUCUCGUUGGAAAUGAAAAAGAAUAAAGUGGGCCGUGCAACAAUGACGGCCUGAUGAGUUGACAAGUUGACCACAACAGUGUCAUCCAUUUUCCGCCGGUGAGUCGUAUGCUCUGACAACCUGUCACACCGUUUCCACUUUUCUGACAUUGGACAUAAAACUUAUUUCUCUUUGUUUCGAUUAAUGAUUUAUCUCUCUCUGUUUUGAAAUUAUCAGCUUGUUUUUAGUCAGUUUUCUAUUGCAUGCCUGUAUCAUACAAUAGAUAAUUGGGUUUUUUACUUCAACACUCUUGAAGGAAAAUAAAAGGGGUCGCCUUGUAAACUGAUAGUAGGUUUUCCCAAUGAGCCAGUACUAUCAAUUUACCCCGUUUGAUGAAUCAAGCAUUGACAAAAAUGGAGUACCCAAAGGCAGUAUUUUAGGACCAAUAUUUUUACACAAUAUAAAAGGAUAUUAUAUAAUCGUUCAAUGUUACUAAACAUAAAUAAACUUUUAGCUAACUUAAUGCUUGAAGUUGAAACUUUAAAAACAAGAUACAAUCAAUCUUGGUCGCGUUAAGUUCAGUGCACUGUUAUCGAAGUUAUAAGUGAAAUUAAUGUUCGUGAGGCUUGGGUACUUUGUAAUAUUACUUCUCAAGGUAAUAAACUUGCGCAUAGUUAUUACUGGAUCUUAUAAUAACAUUGUAUGUGUUACAUAUUCUGAGAAUUUUUGUUCAAAUUAUACAUAGAUUCUUUCAAAACACUUGAUAUUUAGGAUGCGAUUUAAAAAAAGAAAAGUUUAAAUGGCGCCAGCAAUAACAUUAUCACUAUUUGCAUAAGACAUAAAUAAAAAGUGCUACGAAAUCUAUGUAAUCACCAGUACAUAUCUACCGCAUAAACAUUAGCUAUAGGAAAGCUAGCUACACGUGUAUAUCGAGUUAGUGCUUGGCAUUGAGACCUAAGUACCUAGGCAGCCCGGGAUCUGUAUGGCCUUUAGAAGUGGGUAGCGUCGCAGCUCGCGGCGGCUGUGCGCGCGCACUCAGAUCGAUCUCAACAUCCCCCGCUACCCUCUCGCGCCCCGCACCCUGCAGCCUUCGCACCCCAAACGUGUAGGAAGAUGCCUCAUCACCCACGUCUGAUUGUGUUUUAUAACUACGCUAUCAAACGAUAAUUUCACCGCUUAAGUCAUAACAAUUGAAUCGUCCACUUGUGACUGCGACGGUACUAUUAAUAGAAUGUAGUCUGCUUGAUAUCAUAAACGUAUAAUUAUCGAAGAAAUGAUUGCGAGCUUAAUAAAUCGCCGGUUGGUAACUAAAGUCUCAAGUGCGACCAGUUUUUAUGCUCCACCGAUAUUACAUCAGAUGUGCCUCGAGCUAGCGGCGCACGAGCAAACACCAUGAUCGGCUCGGAUACAGCCAAAAUUAUAAUUACGUAUUGUUCAUCAAAGCACUAUUUUGGAUUUAAGGAAUUCCAGGUUAUUCUCGCUUUUAAUUAAAAUUCCGUAACAACUAUGUAGCCUACCUAUUUCAAUGGGUUAGUCAUUACACAGAAGCACUAAAUUAUUCAUGAAAUUAAUUUAAUCUUUAACAAUAACCAUUUACUUGUGGAACACAGUAUGAUGCAUGUAGAUAAAUACUUCAGCCAUUUUACUGUUACAGUAAUUACAUAGCAGUGUGUUCCACCUAUUAGAUACAUUUCGAACGGUUGUGUGUCAUAAAAGUAAAUAAGAUAAACGGAAACGGCUCGUCACUAGCAGUGUCGUGUAUAUAGAAGCUGGCAUAAGGAAUAUCUUGGCAUUAUAUAAACAUUUGAGUGCUGGAAUCAGUACUUUGUAUUCCGUGAGCUCGGGCUCGGCCAGUGGCAAUGACGGAAGGACGGCGGGAGAGGGGCGGUGCAGCUGCCGGUGCAUCACCAUCCCUCGGCGAAGUGGCCCUCCCCGCGGCCCGCGGCCCCCUCGCCGCGCCGGCCCAUUGCCAAGUUCAAUGCCAAGGUCAUGCGCGCGCGAGUGCGGCUGCGCGCCGCAAUGCAGGAGCGGCCGGCGGCAGGCAGCCGGCGAGCCGUCAGUGCCUCACCGACGACCGCGCUACACACCGCAUCGCCAUUUCCUCACAGUCGCGUCCCAGCGGGUCACCUGACCAAUAAUUACAGUUCCGUAAAAAUUGUCACGUUGAGGCCUUCCGCGAGUCUCGCGCCGCACAAGCGUGGACGCGCCAUUCUGUCGCGAUCAGCUUAUAUCUGUCGGCAUUUUAGGCAAACCGUUUCGGUCUGAGUGCAUAUGAGCGGUGUUAUAUAGGUAGAUUGUAUGUACGAUGAUACAGUUCCGCGACGUGACUGAAUUCUUGCGGUGGCCGGCUCGUGUGCUAUCCCACAAACUGCGCUGCUGACGCCACGCCGUGUACAUUAUGCAACAUCUUCUCAGCAAAACACAUUCCAGUCAUGGCUCGACAUAUAGAUGAUGAUGGCUGAAAUGUCUUCUGAAGAAAAACCUUCCUGAAGAAAUCCAGAUGGACGCAACCCGGAUUAAAAGGAAGAUGGCGGCGGUGCUUGUGCUACGGCGCCGGCGCAGAGGAUGAGGAGACUGCGCAUACGCAUCCGACAAAUGACUGAAGAACACGAAAUACACAAAUAAUAACGAAUUUUAAACCCUCUUCUAGGGUUAACUAA